rnacentral:rRNA from 1 species
GACGAACGCUGGCGGCGUGCCUAAUGCAUGCAAGUAGAACGCACAGUUUAUACCGUAGCUUGCUACACCAUAAACUGUGAGUUGCGAACGGGUGAGUAACGCGUAGGUAACCUGCCUGGUAGCGGGGGAUAACUAUUGGAAACGAUAGCUAAUACCGCAUAAUAUUGAUUAUUGCAUGAUAAUUGAUUGAAAGAUGCUAUUGCAUCACUACCAGAUGGACCUGCGUUGUAUUAGCUAGUAGGUGAGGUAACGGCUCACCUAGGCGACGAUACAUAGCCGACCUGAGAGGGUGAUCGGCCACACUGGGACUGAGACACGGCCCAGACUCCUACGGGAGGCAGCAGUAGGGAAUCUUCGGCAAUGGACGAAAGUCUGACCGAGCAACGCCGCGUGAGUGAAGAAGGUUGUCGGAUCGUAAAGCUCUGUUGUAAGAGAAGAACGGGUGUGAGAGUGGAAAGUUCACACUGUGACGGUAUCUUACCAGAAAGGGACGGCUAACUACGUG